rnacentral:lncRNA from 1 species
CAGAUAUUUGCUGACUAAAUUGAAGGAGUGAAUUAUACUUUGAGAAUCCAGGAAGCCUUGACAAACGAUAUUUUAUUACGACUUAUCUCAAAAGAUGAAUUGGAAUUGAGAGAUACAGAUGGAAUCAAUAGCAUGGACAACGAAUCCUGAACUAAUUAUUUUCUCUUAAUACCCUCUUUUAUACAUUUUCCUGUUAUUCAUCUCCCAUACCUGGAGGCCUAGGGUUUGAAGGAAUUACAGUCAUUACCACCUUGCUUUUAAGGCCCAAAUGAUUUUGGAGCCCUGAUGCCCAAUCAUGCCCUUCCAUCACUCCAUGAACACACGGCUCCGUGACCUAUGAAAACACAUCAGGACAAACUCCACAGAGGCAGGCCAUCUUCUGAUACCAUCUGGCAAGUGCUCUGCUCUCACGUCUUGCCUUCAGGAAUUUUAGAUGGGCAGGAGGGACGAGCAAGGCAAACACAAUUGAUGGUUGUCAGCAUUCCAAUAUGAAGAAGGCCAUAACAGUCCUGGAAGAACAUCUGGAACGUCCUCAGGUACAUGCCCAGCAGCCACCAUUCUGGGGUCCAAGAGGCAACUGAAGGUCCAAAUAGAAGCCCCUUGAGAGAGAAAGGGCAGAAUCCAGGACCAUACAGUUUCUUUGGGGGUCAUACAGUCCUAAACCUCACUGUAACAAGUGAAACCAAACGGCGGCGGUGAGAAAUUUGACCUAGUUCUCCAGCGACCUUCAGUCCCAGGUUUCUGAGGGAAACGGCCUGUUUUGGACAUUUCCUCAUCGUUCCCCAGGCUCAUACCAACCUAUACGCCAAUAAAUGCGAGUUGUUUUGCUUUGUUUGGUCUUUCACAAAAAUGGGAUCAUACAACACAUGUUACUCUGUACUUUGCUUUUUACACGUAAUGAUAUAUCAUAUUCACCCCACUUAAA